GUUGAACGCUGGCGGCGUGCCUAAUACAUGCAAGUCGAGCGAAUGGAUUAAGAGCUUGCUCUUAUGAAGUUAGCGGCGGACGGGUGAGCAACACGUGGGUAACCUGCCCAUAAGACUGGGAUAACUCCGGGAAACCGGGGCUAAUACCGGAUAACAUUUUGAACCGCAUGGUUCGAAAUUGAAAGGCGGCUUCGGCUGUCACUUAUGGAUGGACCCGCGUCGCAUUAGCUAGUUGGUGAGGUAACGGCUCACCAAGGCAACGAUGCGUAGCCGACCGGAGAGGGUGAUAGGCCACCCUGGGACUGAGACACGGCCCAGACUCCUACGGGAGGCAGCAGUAGGGAAUCUUCCGCAAUGGACGAAAGUCUGACGGAGCAACGCCGCGUGAGUGAUGAAGGCUUUCGGGUCGUAAAACUCUGUUGUUAGGGAAGAACAAGUGCUAGUUGAAUAAGCUGGCACCUUGACGGUACCUAACCAGAAAGCCACGGCUAACUACGUGCCAGCCGCCGCGGUAA
rnacentral:rRNA from 1 species